rnacentral:misc_RNA from 1 species
AAACACACUGAAGACCAAGACAUUAAUGGCGUCAAAAUGGCGAGCAUUAACCGAGUUGGUUCGCCUAUGGAUGUAUGUGAAGAAAAUUAUGACUUAAACCAGGAAGUCCUCGAUAACAAGAGAAAGUUUUUGGAAAAUAAGCAAAGAAACCGUUCACAAGUACACAGCCUUGGUAGUGGAGAGCAGAACCUCUGAUUAUGAAGACACAGAUGAAAUUAUGUCUGUGGCUAGUGCCAAAGGGAGAGACAGAUAUGAAAAAAGAGAGAGAGAAACUAAAGAACUUAACAAAUUUGCAGGAUAUUUUACAAUGAAGCAAACUUUUCUGCCUGGAAGAAGUGAAAGAGUGAAGAACAUCUCAAAAGUCAGCAUGCAACCAAGUAAAACAACGAUUAAAAAAGAAACAGGAAAGCCAAAGUUUGUGGAGCUAUACCAGUACCCUGGCUAUGACUCCACGGAACUGACAGCGCUCCCAGACGAAAUUCCCAUCGUGGAGAUGCUGGAAAAAGCAGUGUCUGCUCAUAUGCAGCUCCAUAAAAAACCUGACUACCGGCCAGAAUUUGAGAAAUGGUUCUAUUCUGAGAUGUCACAAGCUGUAUGCUCAGACAUUUUCUGGUAUCUUUUUCUGGAUAAAUUCCAGUCCAGUAAGAACUCCCAAGUCAAACUGUUCAACAGAGCAGCUUUCAACUAUGUCAAGUUAAUGCUGUAUGUCAGAAACCCCCAGUAUAGAGAUGUCUUCUUCAAGGACUUUCCUACACUGGUCGCCCAGUCAAUCUAUGCUGCCUACUGCCAUUCUUUCCCCGAUUCCUACCGACAAUUCAACGAGCAUUUCAAGGAGGACCUCGUCAUUCUGGUGUACAACUGGAUAGCAGGUAUCAGGCCUGCAUCAAGGUGUUGGUUGUCAUGGAACUUUGAUAAACUCGAACCACCCAACAUCAAGCAAAGGGAAGAAAUGAUGAACAGAGAGAAGAAUAAAAAACCUUCCAUGUCCUUGAACUUUGAUUUCCUGGACUCUCUGUUCUCGAGCAAUGCCAGUCAAUACACCUCCACCACCUCCCUAAACCAGUCAAUGUCCAAGUCCUCCAUGCAGAGCUACGGAGGUCGCCGAGGGAAAAAGUUACCCCGCAACAUGAACAGGCGCAGUAGUAUACAGAGUUCUGUGUCCAUCUCCUCCAAACACCACCUCCAGUCUCCCGGGUCCUCUCACGAUGGGGCCAUCAUCGAAUACGUGUCGGAUAGCCAAAAACCUGGAAUCCUGGGUAAAAAGCCCUCACCCUCUCAGUCUCAGACCAAGGACAGAGCUGUGGACCCAAGGAAGUUGAGGGACGCCCUGACCCCGAUCAGGGAGACCACAUAUGAGGAGGAUGCCCAGCAGCUGGACACACACAGAGGGGACAAGACAUCCACUGUGUCUGUGGCCCUCACGAAAGCUCCCACCAAAGUACCGGGGAGGAAGAUGCGAGAGUCCCAUCCAGCUUGUGCUGGCCCAGAUUAUGUGAGAUCAGUAUUCAAUAUAAAUGGCCAGAGCCCCCUGGUGGCGCAUUACAUGAAAAUGAAGGGUCUGCAGUAUGAUGCUGGGGAGGACAUCCGCAUCCAGCGAACGGAAAUCCAGAACCUACCUCCUUUGGAUGCUCCAACCUAUAGAGAUGUCAUUCGGGAAUCGUUCAAGAAAGCGAGAGAAAUUGAAAAGCAGUAUGAUAGUUUUAUUGAGAAGAACCUUAAAGAACAAGUAGAGACAAUGAUGAGGAACAGAUUAGCAGACAAACGACAUCGGCACCUGGAGAAACUGCUUCUGUCCAACCCCAAAGAGGUCAAAAGGUUAACGGAGCUAAUCAUUCUGGAACAAGAGAAAAAUCUCGACUCUGAUUCGGCAGAACCAGCGGUUAUUAUUGAGCAGACUUUAAACGCUUUGUCACACAAAUUAUGGUGACACAUGUGUCUUAUCAAAAGUACCCAAGAUAUUUGGCUUAGAUUGUGGAUUAAUUUAACCAAAUGUUGACAUGCAAAGAUUUUAUAGAUUUAAUCAAGAUUAAUAGAAGUGAAUUCACAGUAUGGUUUAGAAAGCUGUUAAUUUGUCGAUGAUGUUCAAAAAUGAAUAAUGGAAUAUGAAAGGAACAUUUUUGUUAUCUAAAAAUUUGGUACUAAGUUUGAACAGCUUUUGAGAUAACUGAAUUCUGUUUGAGACUUUGGCAAUUACGAGUAAUCAGAAAUCUGCCAUUAUGGUCUGGUUGUUUGCUGGUUUGAAUGAGGAGCUUUAUUAAUUGAUGUGGCAUUUACUGUUGUGCAUGCUUCAGAACUUCUAAUCUAAUGGAUACCUUUUCAGGAAAAUCAAAUAAAUUUUUAACUUGUUUUAAAAAAAAAAUUGAGUUUCUCUUAACAUAUAUUCAAGAAAUCCAAAUUUUCUUACAUUUCUUAUAAAAUAACUUCUUUUUCUGACUUGUGUGUUUUCUUCUAUCAUAGUUCAUUGCCAUUAGGUGCUCCACUUUUUUAACAGAUAUGAGAACAUCAUUUUGAUACAUUUUCUACACUUGCAAUAAGCAUGUAUUAACAGUUAUUGUUAAUUGUUAUUUUCCAGAGAGGAGAGGAUUCCCUGUCUGCUGGGGCUGAUGCAGCUAUUGAGGCCUCUCUGCUGGCUCAACAAAAAUGCUCCUAAAGAGAGACAACCAAGAAAUUUUUCACCGAAAGCUUGUGUCAAUGAUAUAUAGCACCUGUGGCUAUAUGCAGCUGUUUCCAACUUUAGAUACGAGAAAUGGUUCCUACUUGUCUUUUUUGGGGGGGAUGAAUAAAAAUCACUAAUCUCCUGUUUCUAUGAAAUUACAUAAUUAUGUUUCCAAGUGUUGUUUUGAAAUGCAAUUUAACUUAUGACUAAACAUUAAAAAAACUUUGAGAAUUAAUGCAUUUAUGUACACUAGUUAUCAAGUCAUCUGUUUUCUGUUAUUUUCCGUUAAAUAAUGAAAGUUAUCAACUGUAUUAAUAUAUGUGACACUAAUUUAAAUAAUCAGUUUUAUAUUAACAUUUAUAUGUAACUGUGAUAUUUAAUGUACUUAAAGACACCAAUCAUGUGAUAUGUACAUUUCAUUUACAUUGUGAUUGUUUUUGUUGUUGCGUGCUUAAUAUGGCAGUUUUGUAAAAUAAAUUAUCAAUAU